GACGAACGCUGGCGGCGUGCUUAACACAUGCAAGUCGAACGGAAAGGCCCUGCUUUUGUGGGGUGCUCGAGUGGCGAACGGGUGAGUAACACGUGAGUAACCUGCCCUUGACUUUGGGAUAACUUCAGGAAACUGGGGCUAAUACCGGAUAGGAGCUCCUGCUGCAUGGUGGGGGUUGGAAAGUUUCGGCGGUUGGGGAUGGACUCGCGGCUUAUCAGCUUGUUGGUGGGGUAGUGGCUUACCAAGGCUUUGACGGGUAGCCGGCCUGAGAGGGUGACCGGCCACAUUGGGACUGAGAUACGGCCCAGACUCCUACGGGAGGCAGCAGUGGGGAAUAUUGCACAAUGGGCGGAAUCCUGAUGCAGCAACGCCGCGUGCGGGAUGACGGCCUUCGGGUUGUAAACCGCUUUCGCCUGUGACGAAGCGUGAGUGACGGUAAUGGGUAAAGAAGCACCUGCUAACUACGUG
rnacentral:rRNA from 1 species